rnacentral:misc_RNA from 1 species
AACGCACAUUGCGCCCCUUGGUAUUCCGAGGGGCAUGCCCGUUCGAGCGUCAUUAUAACCCUUCAAGCCUAGCUUGGUGUUGGGGCCUGCUGUUACCGGCAGUCCUUAAAAUCAGUGGCGGUGCCAUCUGGCUCUAAGCGUAGUAAUACUUCUCGCUACAGGGUCCCGGUGGAUGCUUGCCAUCAACCCCUAAUUUCUAUGGUUGACCUCGGAUCGGGUAGGGAUACCCGCUGAACUUAA